UGGGUGCCCGCGAGGGGAGCCCUAGCACAGGUGCUGCAUGGCCGUCGUCAGCUCGUGCCGUGAGGUGUUGGGUUAAGUCCCCGCAACGAGCGCAACCCCCGCCGUUAGUUGCCAGCGGUUCGGCCGGGCACUCUAACGGGACUGCCCGCGAAAGCGGGAGGAAGGAGGGGACGACGUCUGGUCAGCAUGGCCCUUACGGCCUGGGCGACACACGUGCUACAAUGCCCACUACAAAGCGAUGCCACCCGGCAACGGGGAGCUAAUCGCAAAAAGGUGGGCCCAGUUCGGAUUGGGGUCUGCAACCCGACCCCAUGAAGCCGGAAUCGCUAGUAAUCGCGGAUCAGCCAUGCCGCGGUGAAUACGUUCCCGGGCCUU
rnacentral:rRNA from 1 species